GCAAGUUAUUAAUCUCAUUCUAAAUAUAAUUUAAAUUGGUUCACUGUAAAAUGAUAGCGAAAAAGAUUGCGGACAAAAACGUUGAGUUAAUAUCGUUGUGUACAUUAUCAUUGUGAGACAAAAACGUUUAUCAAUUUUGUUUGUAUUGUUCAUUUACAAUGAAUUAAUAUUUGAUGGAGAGAAUGCGGGAUAUCUAAAGAAUAACAAAAAAACAAAAAAGCGGAGAAACACACUAAAUCUAUAAAAAGGGAAAUUCUCAUAUACCGUUUUUAUUACUUUUGGAUUUUACUUCUUUUUCGACUCUUCAUCUUGAAACAUUUUUAUUGAAAAUAAUAUUGAGAUGACCAACUGUUUAAUUACAUUGAAGAGCCUUUCUAUACUCUCUCUAACUUCAAUAGGGUGUAGUUCUAUAGACUAUUAUCAUCCUUUCUUCAAUGUUUCCCAAAGAAUGAGAAGAACGGGAGAAAUUGUUCAACUACUUCCUGAAAUAGGGCUAACAGAAAGAAUUAGUCAUCAAUGGAAGGACAUCCAUGAAAGAAACACCGAAAACAUAUUUGAAAAGAGAAUGAUAAAAUCAAAUAAGAGGUCAACAUUGCUAUUAGAUAAAAUUCUUUUUGCAUUGCAAAGAGCUGUAAACAACAAAAGAAUAUCAUUGGAAAAUAUUAAAAAUGUAGAUAAUAUGGAAAAUAUUAUUCCAAAGAAUAAUAUGCAUCAAGUACAAGGGCCUUUAAAUUAUUCGAACUAUUCUGGGAAUGGCGUGCAAAGAAGAGGGACAGUAAAUGGAAAAGUUUAUUGGAGGUGCUACUUCAACGCAGUCUCAUGUUUUUAGACAAAUAAUAUAAAAUAUGCAUUAUGAGGAAUUCAUUAUAAUUUUUUUUAAAAGUAAUAAUAAAUAAUUGAUAAAUCUA
rnacentral:lncRNA from 1 species